rnacentral:rRNA from 1 species
CUUUCCUACGGGGGGCAGCAGUGAGGAAUAUUGGUCAAUGGGCGGGAGCCUGAACCAGCCAAGUCGCGUGAGGGAAGACGGUCCUAUGGAUUGUAAACCUCUUUAGGCGGGGAGCAAUGCCGGGCACGCGUGCCCGGAGGGAGAGUACCCGCAGAAUAAGCAUCGGCUAACUCCGUGCCAGCAGGCGCGGUAAUACGGAGGAUGCGAGCGUUAUCCGGAUUUAAUGGGUUUAAAGGGUGCGUAGGCGGAAGUUUAAGUCAGCGGUAAAAUGUCAGGGCUCAAGCCGGGCCGGCAGGUGCAACGGG